GGGCCCGUAGCUCAGCUUGGUUAGAGCAUCGGUCUUAUAAGCCGAGGGUCACGUGUUCAAAUCACGUCGGGCCCA
rnacentral:tRNA from 1 species